UGUAGCAGCUACUGUAUAUCACCCUGCAACUCACAACUAGUAACCCAUUGAAGCUAAGCAGGUCUGAGCCUGGUCAGUACCUGGAUGGGAGACCUCUUGGGAAAACCUAAGGUUGCUGCUGGAA
ensembl:rRNA 5S_rRNA 5S ribosomal RNA